GGCAGCAUAGCUCAGUUGGUUAGAGCGUAGGACUCAUAAGCCUAAGGUCACUGGUUCAAUUCCAGUUGCUGCUACCA
rnacentral:tRNA from 2 species